GGGGUGGAAUAAGACUGAAAUAAAUCCUUUAAAAUGAGCUGCUGGGCUGUAGAUGUGCGAUUGUGGAGGGGUCCUCUGUAGAGGUGCGAGUGUGGGGGGGUCCUCUGUAGAUGUGUGAGUGUGGAGGGGUCCUCUGUAGAUGAGUGAGUUUGGGGGUCCUCUGCGAUUCUCUGGUCCGGAGUACUCUGCUUCGCCAUGAUGUCCCCACCUCUAGCGUUUGCCCAGGUCUCUGGCUCUCUC